rnacentral:lncRNA from 1 species
ACUGCAAAGACAAUGGCACCAUAACCCUUGCUAAGGAGCCUAGGUCUCACCAGAUAUCCAAGCACAUAGAACAGCAGAACACGCGACUACCUUGAGUAAAAAUAUAUAGAGGUGCAGAGAGAAAACUUCACAUGUGAUAUGGAUGACCCACUGAUAAGUCACUUGGCUAGCCUAAGACUUAGCCUGUCCUGUGAAGAUAGGGCUUGGUACAUGGC